GCGCGGACGGACCGGGGGCGGUGUGCCUCACGGGCGCAGGGUGCCCUGGUUCCGCUCCAGCUCCGCGUCCC
rnacentral:tRNA from 1 species